rnacentral:lncRNA from 1 species
GUCAGCAGCCCACGCCCCGUCCCAUCCUCCAGGCCUCCCGAGAGGCCAGAGGCUCAGCGCUGGCCAGCACCUCCCCUGGCCACGGCUCGGGCUGCGGCGCAGCCCCAGUCCAGCCCCGACUCCCUCUGCUGCUGUAGGCGUUGGGAGCCGCCCUGUUCAUCCUUUCCACCUCCACGCCUGCCCGGCCCUCCUGCCAAGCCUGGAAGCAGCAGUCAAAAGCGGGGCGGGCGUGUGGCCGGGUCUGGCCGGCUGCUGGGCUGGGACUCCGGGCAGGCGUUGCAGACGGAAGCCUGACAUGGACCCGCACUGGGGACUCUCCUGCCUCAGCCUCCUGUGUCUCCUGACGCUGGCCCCAGGGUCUUACUAAGUUGCUCAAUUGCCAGGCUGGGCUCGAACUUACAAUCCUCCCGCCUCAGCCUCCCAGAGUGCUGGGAUGAAAGGUGUUCAGCCCCCACAGCCAGCUUGGAAACUAGUUUUUACAUCCCAGUGGUCAAAAUGAAAUUGAAACAGACUUUUGUUUGGUGGGGCUGCUUACUAGGGAUUGGAUCUGUCUGACAGGCAGCGAGGUUCGGAUUUUGAAUGCUUUUUUGUAGCCACCUUCGUAGAUUUCUGCAAAUUAAAAUCGUCUGAAGGGCUCAUGCCCAGAAAUCUUUGCUAUGAAAUGGCAGA